GCCUGCCAGUGGUAUGAAGUGGACAAACAGAAUUUAGGAUUAAAGAGCCUUUCUAGCCAUGAUGAAAACAUCAGUGUUCAACGCAUCGCAGGGGAGGAAAGUUUCACUCGCGGGAAAUCACUGAAGAAUGACAUCAGUUGAACGGCAAGGUCCAAGUGCAGAUUUUCAGUAUCUCCUUGUUAUUGCUUAUUAUUUCAAAGUGGUUUCCUGCACAAGUUGAGAAGAAAUAAUGUGGUAUUGACAAAUGCAUACACAAAUAAACAGAAGCAUUUAAUGUAUGAAUAAACUGUGAGUGAAACUGCUGCCCCUCUUCCUAUCUUGCU